AUGGCAUCGAAUUCAUCGGCAGCGGCAGCGGCGGCGUUCUUCGGGAUGAGGGAUGGGGACCAGCAAGACCAGCUGAAACCGCUGAUAUCACAGCAGCAGCAGCAGCACCAGCAGCAGCUGGCAGCGGUGGCACUGUCCGGCGUGGGGAGCGCGGCGCCUGCUGCGUCCAGCCAGGGCGCUCCGGCGGCGGCACCACCGGCCAAGAAGAAGAGGACUCUACCCGACCCGGACGCGGAGGUGAUCGCGCUGUCGCCCAAGACGCUGAUGGCGACGAACCGGUUCGUGUGCGAGGUGUGCAACAAGGGGUUCCAGCGCGAGCAGAAUCUGCAGCUGCACCGCCGCGGCCACAACCUGCCAUGGAAGCUGAAGCAGAAGAAUCCGAACCAGGUGCAGCGCAGGCGCGUGUACCUGUGCCCGGAGCCGACGUGCGUCCACCACGACCCGUCCCGCGCCCUGGGCGACCUCACCGGCAUCAAGAAGCACUUCUGCCGCAAGCACGGCGAGAAGAAGUGGAAGUGCGACAAGUGCUCCAAGCGCUACGCCGUGCAGUCGGACUGGAAGGCACACUCCAAGAUCUGCGGCACCCGCGAGUACCGCUGCGACUGCGGCACCCUCUUCUCCCGGAGGGACAGCUUCAUCACCCACAGGGCCUUCUGCGACGCCCUGGCGCAGGAGAGCGCCAGGCUGCCGCCGACGAGCCUGAGCAGCCUCACCAGCCACCUCUACGGGGCUACUAACGCUGGCAACAUGGCGCUGAGCCUGUCCCAGGUGGGAUCCCACCUCAACUCCACCCUGCAGCACGACGGCCACCACCACCACCCGUCCCCGGAGCUCCUGCGCCUCGGUGGAGCGGCCGGCGGAGGCAGCAGCAGCAUCGCCGCGCGCCUCGACCACCUCCUGUCGCCCUCUGGCGCGUCUGCGUUCCGCCCGCCUCAGCAGCAGCCCCAGUCGGCUUUCUUCCUCAACGCGGCGCCGGGGCAGGAUUUCGGCGACGAUGCGGGAAACGGGCCACAGUCCUACCUGCAGUCCAAGCCGUUCCACGGCCUCAUGCAGCUCCCAGACCUCCAGGGCAAUGGUGCGGGAGGGCCCGCCUCUUCGGGCCAUGGACUCUUCAACCUGGGAUUCUUCUCCAACAAUGGCAAUAGCUCGGGGUCUAGUCAUGAGCAUGCAAGCCAGGGAAUGAUGAGCAACGACCAGUUCAGCGGCGGAGCUGGCGGAGGCGGCGGCGGCGGCUCUGAGGUAUCGGCAGCGGCGAUUUUCGGCGGGAACUUUGUUGGUGGUGAUCACAUUUCGCAGGCUGGGAUGUACAACGACCAGGCGCCCAUGCUGCCUCAGAUGUCUGCGACCGCACUGCUCCAGAAGGCAGCGCAGAUGGGCGCGACCUCCAGCCCCAACGGCGCGGCGUCCAUGUUCCGGGGCUUUGUGGGCUCUUCGCCGCACGCGCGACAGGGGACACCGCAGCAGCAGAUGGACCAGAACGAUGCGAACCUGAACGAGCUGAUGAACUCUCUGGCUGCUGGCGGCGGCGUCAAUGCCGCGGCGAUGUUUGGCGGCGCUAACGGCGGUCCCGCCGGGAUGUUUGAUCCGAGGAUGUGCGACAUGGAUCAGCACGAGGUGAAAUUCAGCCAGGGAGGAGGUGGUGUUGGUGGCAACGGCGGUGGUGCUGGCGGCGGCGCCGGCGGCGACAUGACGCGGGACUUUCUUGGCGUGGGUGGAGGCGGCAUCGUGCGCGGGAUAUCGACACCGAGAGGAGACCACCACCAGAGCAGCAGCGACAUGAGCUCCUUGGAGGCCGAGAUGAAGUCGGCUUCGUCCUUCAACGGAGGCCGGAUGCCAUGA
rnacentral:rRNA from 1 species